rnacentral:rRNA from 1 species
AGUGAACGCUGGCGGUAGGCCUAACACAUGCAAGUCGAACGGCAGCACAGUAAGAGCUUGCUCUUACGGGUGGCGAGUGGCGGACGGGUGAGGAAUACAUCGGAAUCUACUUUUUCGUGGGGGAUAACGUAGGGAAACUUACGCUAAUACCGCAUACGACCUACGGGUGAAAGCAGGGGAUCUUCGGACCUUGCGCGAUUGAAUGAGCCGAUGUCGGAUUAGCUAGUUGGCGGGGUAAAGGCCCACCAAGGCGACGAUCCGUAGCUGGUCUGAGAGGAUGAUCAGCCACACUGGAACUGAGACACGGUCCAGACUCCUACGGGAGGCAGCAGUGGGGAAUAUUGGACAAUGGGCGCAAGCCUGAUCCAGCCAUACCGCGUGGGGGAAGAAGGCCUUCGGGUUGUAAAGCCCUUUUGUUGGGAAAGAAAAGCAGCAGGUUAAUACCCCGCUGUUCUGACGGUACCCAAAGAAUAAGCACCGGCUAACUUCG